rnacentral:snRNA from 1 species
GUGCUCGCGUGGGCAGCACAUAUACUCAAAUUAGAACCACACAGAGUAGCAUGGCCCCCGUGCCAGGAGGACAUGCAAAUUGGUGAAGCCACCCAUAUGUUC